rnacentral:misc_RNA from 1 species
AACUGAUACUACCUGCGGGAACCUGCGGAAGGAUCAUUACCGAGUUUUCAACUCCCAAACCCCAUGUGAACUUAUACCAUUUACAACCGUUGCUUCGGCGGGUUCUCGCCCCGGGCUUUACACCCCGGAACCAGGCGGCCCGCCGGGGGACCCAAACUCUAGAUUUAUAUUUUAGCAUGUCUGAGUGGAAUCAUUACAAAAUGAAUCAAAACUUUCAGCAACGGAUCUCUAGAUCGGAAG